GACGAACGCUGGCGGCGUGCUUAACACAUGCAAGUCGAACGCUGAAGCUCAGCUUUUGUUGGGUGGAUGAGUGGCGAACGGGUGAGUAACACGUGAGUAACCUGCCUCCUUCUUUGGGAUAACGCCCGGAAACGGGUGCUAAUACUGGAUAUUCACUGGUCUUCGCAUGGGGGUUGGUGGAAAGGGUUUUUCUGGUGGGGGAUGGGCUCGCGGCCUAUCAGCUUGUUGGUGGGGUGAUGGCCUACCAAGGCUUUGACGGGUAGCCGGCCUGAGAGGGUGACCUGUCACAUUGCGACUGAGAUACGGCCCAGACUACGCCGGGAGGCAGCAGUGGGGAAUAUUGCACAAUGGGCGCAAGCCUGAUGCAGCGACGCCGCGUGAGGGAUGGAGGCCUUCGGGUUGUGAACCUCUUUGGCUCAUGGUCAAGCCGCAACAAUGGUUGUGGUGAGGGUAGUGGGUAAAGAAGCGCGGGCUAACUACGUG
rnacentral:rRNA from 1 species